GCAAACUUGGUCAUUUAGAGGAAGUAAAAGUCGUAACAAGGUUUCCGUAGGUGAACCUGCGGAAGGAUCAUUAAAGAACAGAUCACAAAAGAGGGGGUCUGUAAGACAUUGGCUCAGAGGGAAGGAGAGAGAGAGGCAGGAUGGAUUUUUCUGCGGCGAUGGGGUCUCUAUUUUCCGGCGGAAGGGGGACCCACUGGAUGAGACUCCACAGUGCUACUGUUGCCAUUAGUCGCACAGAGCCUACGGCAGAUCAAAAUCUCUCAUAGUGGAUCCCCCCUCUGGUUAAUUGAACAGCCUCCUUUUGUGGUUCCAUCUCACACACCCAUAAUGUGAACCUUUGCGUGAGUCAGUAUAGGUCAAGUGGCCUAGAAAGCUUGCGACUUCCACAUAAUCCCUAUAAACGAGUUCUAGAAUGUACACUUGCGUCUAAUCGCAUCCAAUACAACUUUCAGCAACGGAUCUCUUGGCUCUCGCAUCGAUGAAGAACGCAGC
rnacentral:misc_RNA from 1 species